rnacentral:rRNA from 1 species
GAUGAACGCUGGCGGCGUGCUUAACACAUGCAAGUCGAACGGAGGUCUUAGGAGUGCUUGCACUCAGAAGACUUUAGUGGCGGACGGGUGAGUAACGCGUGGGGAACCUGCCCCGUACCGGGGGAUAACAGCCGGAAACGGCUGCUAAAACCGCAUAAGCGCACAGGAUCGCAUGAUACGGUGUGAAAAACUCCGGUGGUACGGGAUGGACCCGCGUCUGAUUAGCCAGUUGGCAGGGUAACGGCCUACCAAAGCGACGAUCAGUAGCCGGCCUGAGAGGGUGGACGGCCACAUUGGGACUGAGACACGGCCCAA